rnacentral:rRNA from 1 species
GACGAACGCUGGCGGCGUGCCUAAUACAUGCAAGUAGAACGCUGAAGGAGGAGCUUGCUCUUCUGGAUGAGUUGCGAACGGGUGAGUAACGCGUAGGUAACCUGCCUGGUAGCGGGGGAUAACUAUUGGAAACGAUAGCUAAUACCGCAUAAGAGUAGAUGUUGCAUGACAUUUGCUUAAAAGGUGCAAUUGCAUCACUACCAGAUGGACCUGCGUUGUAUUAGCUAGUUGGUGGGGUAACGGCUCACCAAGGCGACGAUACAUAGCCGACCUGAGAGGGUGAUCGGCCACACUGGGACUGAGACACGGCCCAGACUCCUACGGGAGGCAGCAGUAGGGAAUCUUCGGCAAUGGACGGAAGUCUGACCGAGCAACGCCGCGUGAGUGAAGAAGGUUUUCGGAUCGUAAAGCUCUGUUGUAAGAGAAGAACGAGUGUGAGAGUGGAAAGUUCACACUGCGACGGUAUCUUACCAGAAAGGGACGGCUAACUACGUG